AGGGAAAAUAGGUGAAAAUUCAAAAAUCAAGUGAAAAAAAGGUGGUGAGUCAAUUGUUUCGGGUAAGAGACUGCACCCGAGGGCGGAAGAUAGGAGUAUUUCUACUCCUAAUACUGCUCAGGACAGUUUGUAGAUAGUCGAGUA